UUAAGAAUGGUAUAAUAAGCACAAGACAGUAAAAGCAACAUUUUUAAUGACGGUGGCUAUCUUUUUUGAAAGUGAGGUGAUGCGUAUGUACGUAUCCCAAAAAUCUUUAGAAAGGAGAUGCCUUUUGUCUGUUGAAGCAGCGUUAGGUUUGAUGAUUAGUUUCGGUUCUUUAAUCGCGACGAUCAUUUUUGGAAUCCUAA
rnacentral:sRNA from 1 species